rnacentral:rRNA from 2 species
UACGGAAGAUCCAAGCGUUAUCCGGAAUUACUGGGCGUAAAGAGUUGCGUAGGUGGCAUAGUAAGUAGGUAGUGAAAGCCUGGGGCUCAACCCUUUAAACAUUAUCUAAACUGCUAAGCUAGAGGGCGAGAGAGGUAACUAGAAUUCCUUGUGUAGGAGUGAAAUCCGUAGAUAUAAGGAGGAAUACCGAUGGCGUAGGCAGGUUACUGGCUCGUCCCUGACACUAAGGCACGAAAGCGUGGGGAGCAAACGGG